rnacentral:rRNA from 1 species
CCUACGGGUGGCAGCAGUGGGGAAUAUUGCACAAUGGGGGAAACCCUGAUGCAGCAACGCCGCGUGAGUGAAGAAGUUUUUCGGUAUGUAAAGCUCUAUCAGCAGGGAAGAGAAUUACGGUUCCUGACUAAGAAGCCCCGGCUAACUACGUUGCAGCAGCCGGGGUAAUACGGAGGGGGCGAGCGUUAUCCGGAUUUACUGGGUGUAAAGGGAGCUGAGACGGGUGGUCAAGUCUGGAGUGAAAGCCCGGGGCUUAACCCCGGAAGGGCUGUGGAAACUGAGCAGCGUGAGAGCUGGAGAGGUAAGCGGAAUGCCUAGUGUAGCGGUGAAAGGCGUAGAUAUUAGGAGGAACACCAGUGGCGAAGGCGGCUUACUGGACAGUAACUGACGCUGAGGCUCGAAAGCGUGGGGAGCAAACAGGAUUAGAUACCCCUGUAGUC